UGAUUCAGCGCUAACCACCACGCCACUGUGCCGUCCAACAAGUCAAGUUCAAACUUGCUUCUGAAAGUAACCCAAGAUGGCUGAGAGUGCAUCUGAGAGCAUGCACAACCCCAGAGAUUUGGGGGGCCUAGGCAGCCCCCAGACCCCCAGCCAAAAGAUUGGUUUUGUCCCAGGAGUUUCAGUCAAAAUUAUCAUUAGCCACUUUCACCCAUGUGCUUUUGUUUAUAGCCCACAAUUUUGACACUUUCAUGAAUGGAUGAUCAUACAGGUGCCUCCACUAUAUUCCCUUAACCAGGGAUCCACAUCCACAGAGGAUAAUAAAGGAGACAAUUAAGAAGGCU